rnacentral:lncRNA from 1 species
GCAUAUCUGCAGAUGGAAUCGGUGGAGCACCAGGGAUAUCAAGGAGAACGUUGAGAUGUUGGAAGCUUUGAGUGAAUUUGUUACAGAGGGUGGGCAAAUAAAGUAAGCAAGCAGCAGCACCGAGGGCGGUAGGGAGGAAAGAGUAAGCUGGAAGGUUGAGAUCGGAGGCCACUUCGAAUGCUGCGCUGGUGCAGAAGAAGUCGACGAUAAUGGCGUUGAGUGUGUAGUUAUUGGAGAUGGUGAGAAGGGUGCGACGGACAUCGGGGUUUCUGAGGCGGAUGACGUCGAAGAAAAGCGGAUCUAAGUCGGUUGAGGUUGGAAGGAGGUCGACGGUUGGGAGGUAGUGGAAGAUGAUGGAAGGAGGAACGGGGGAGGGGACGGUGGAGGAAGGUUGUGAAGGAAGGGUGGCGAUGAGGAUGUGGAUAGAAAGGGAAGGGUGUUGAGUGAGGAGGAGCUUGGCGAACUCUACCAAGGGUGCCAGGUGAGUAAGCAUAGGUGCUGGGUAAAUAACUAUGGCUUCCUCCAUUGGUGAUAAUGAAAAAUGGAGAAGACACAAUGUAUACAUGAAUCAUAAAGAAAACAUUGGGAUACGGGGUUUUUAUUUUUUAAAUGUGCUAUUACUCCUUGUAAGUUCAUAAAAUUUUAGAUUUAGUACCUCCGUUAAAAAAAAUUAUUUAAAAAUAUUAAUCUAGUCAUUAUAAUCGUAUUUAAUUUUUGUCAAAUUUAUUAUUAAACUGUCCUUAUAUGACAUGACAUAUAAUUGACAGAAAAUAAACAUGUUAAAUUUACAAAUUUUAAUAAAUAACGGUAAUGAUUGGACUAGAUUUUUAAAUUAGAAAAAAAAUAAGAGGAUUAAAGUUUUAUCUUUUAAAAUAUAAGGGCCAAAUCUCAAAUUAUAUACAAGCAAAGAGACUAGCAACACAUUUUAACCUUUUUUUUCUGAAGUUACAACCGUAUUAACCCUUCCAUUUUGAAUAAACCAGUUUCUAAUUACACGUUUAACUUUUUAAUUAAUUUUUAAAUAAUGUAUAUUUAAUUCAUUCUUCAUAAUUAAAAUAUAUAAUAAUUUAAAUAUAAUUAUUAUUUUUAAAUAUCGUAUUAAUAGAUCAGUAAAGUUUUUAAUAAUAUUAAAAAAAUUCAAAUCAUAAUUAAAAUAUUUAUACUAUUUUUAAUAUACAAUAUAAAUUUUUACUUCAUGUAAUCAUUAUUUAAACUAAUAACUAAUAAUUUUAUUAAAAUAUAUUAAUUAUUUCGAUAAUUUAAAUAUAUUACUAAUAAAAAAUUCUUAUUAUUAAAGUAUUUGUACAAGCACUAAAAAAUUGAUAUAUUGUAAAAUAAACUCUUCACCAUUCAAUUUUUCUUUUUAUUUUCUUAAUGGUCAAAAAAUUAAUUAUAAUAAUUUUUAAAUAACAUAUAAUUAAUAUGUAGCAAAAAAUUUAAGUAAAAAAAUAAACAAAAAAACUUUUUAAAAAUGAUUGUAAUUGUAAAAAAAAAUUAUGUCAAAUUUUACUUCAAUUAUAAUUAUUUUAACUAAACAUUUUUAAAUAAUAAAUGUAAAUUAUUUUUAUACGUUAAUUAAAAAAAUAACUUUUUCAAAUUAAUUCUUUUACAAGUACUAACUCAAGCAUUAAGUAAACUCAAUCUAACUAUUUAUAACCAGAAUAAAUUUAAUUAAAAACUUAUAUAUCAUAGAACGAGACUCGAAUUUAAAAUCUCAAUUUUUCAAUACUGAAACAUAAUUUAAAAUCUUCAUUAAAAUUAAAUUUUUUAUAUUUAUUUUAUUUGAUUAUUCAUUGGUUGUUGACUUGUUGGUAUUGAUUUGAAGGUUGGUUGCAACUGUAACGAUCUUACUGAACUGACAUUGAGUGUACUUGAAGAUCGACUAUAGCACUUCACCCAACCCUUGGUUCAACAUGAGAUUAGUUGCUGAAAUGACAGUCAAGAACCCGAAUUUCAGCUACUUCAGAUACGGAACCACCAGUGUUGGGGUGGCUUUAGGCCCAAGAACAAGAGUUACAACAAAAAUUAAUCUCAUUAUAGGUUCUUAUCAUAUUUAUUUUUUAUUUUAAUGUCUAAACUCACCCAUAGUUCCUGUUUAACUCUUAAAUAGGGGAUAAAGUACUUCAAUGCAUUCGAACCCAAGUUCUCUUUGAAUGGCAAUAAUACUGAAACCAAUCAAAUUAAAACUCAAUCGAUAAAUUAAAGCUGAACUUAAACUCCAACAACGUAAGAAAUAAUAUGAAUUUAAGAAAUUAUAUCGGGUCAAAUUUUUUAACAUUGACAGCCCGGUCCAAGAUGAAAGGUGAAUGGUAGGAGACGAUCUACAGGAAUGGAUUGCUCCAUUUCGAUUAAUUUGCCACAAAAAUUGGUACAAAAUAUAACUCGCUCUUAGAGAUGGGUGCUUUUAAAUCAUGGAUUUCUUGCUUUUUUUUUUCUUUUUUUUCCUUUUAUCAUUUGUUGUGAUGUAAACUAUUCAUCAUUUUUGUUGAAUAAUUGUAUGGAAUUAAAAAAAAAUUUAAGUGUGAAAUUGAAUAUUAAUGUUAAAUUCAAGUAGCAAACGGUAUAUUAACUUUAAUAAUAAAAGUUAAUUUUUGAUGAUUUAAACUAAUUAAUAAAAAUAGACAAUGAUAGCACAUAUACAAAACUUUUUAACAUCGCUUCUAGAUUCUUCUUUUUAUGUAAAACAUGCUGUAAUUAUGAUUUCAUAUAUAGAAAAUUCAUUAAUAUCUUGUUCAUUUUUUUUUUGUGCAUUGAGAGAUAUUAUUUCACUUUCAUCAAUUGAGUCCAAAAGUUAUGUACAGUUAAAUUAUAAAAAUCAAAUCGUAAAGGGAGUAAAACUUGGAAUUUUACCUAAAACUCGAAGCCGUCAAGAUUUGGACAUCGUUUCUGUGUAUCGGACCAACACAACAAAAAUAACAACCGGUUCGGUCCGAGUCAUUUCAGCUUCCAUGACUCGAAAAGUUUGACUAGCGCAACACGAGAGGAACCUCCCUCACUCGUCGCUACCUCGGCUGCACGUUUCAUAUCUAACGUUCGCUGCCUAACUGAGUCACUUUCUUUCGACUCAAUCAACUCUUUGACUCGCUUCUCCACCUCAGUUGAACAAACGAACCCAGUUUCCGACUCCACCAUCGGCAAUGCGAUCUUCAUUUCUUCUACCAUCAACACCCUAUUGAGCCUUUGUUCUGCAUAAAGUGGCCAGGCCAACAUUGGAACCCCUGCACACACCGAUUCCAGCACCGAGUUCCAGCCGCAGUGAGUUAUGAAUCCACCAACCGAGUCGUGAUUCAACACGGCUGCUUGAGGUGCCCAUGAUUUGACUACCAGUCCCCUCUCUUUGGUCCUCUCCAAGAACCCUUGAGGAAGCAAUGAAUUCAAAUCUGGGUCCAAGCUUUGGUCCUCUAAUGGUGGGUUCUUCACCACCCACAAGAAUCUCUGCCCACUGCUCUCUAAUCCAACAGCUAUUUCUUUUAUUUGUUGCAUUGAAAACGAACCCGAGCUACCAAAACAAAGAAACACUACGCUUUUACUAGGUUGUGAGUCUAGCCACUUUAAGCAAUGAGGAACAUAGCCGCCGUGUGCGGUGGAGUAGGAAUUGGAAGGUCCAAUGCAGUAAACGGGAGGUGUGGGAUACUCCGGUACGCAGAGUCCAUCGCGAAUAGCCUUGAUGGCCUUUGACUCGAGGCAUUCGAAUGUGUUGACGAUGAUCCCAGCUAAAUGGGGCAAACAAGUGGAGUUGUUUAAGAAAAUUUCAUACCACUCGUUGCGUUUGAGUACCGGCGAUGGCAUAUCUGAGGAUGGAAUCGGUGGGACUCCGGGGAUGUCGACAAGAACGUUGAGAUCUUUAAAGUUUUGAGUAAAUUUGUUGUGAAGGGUGGGCAGAUAAAGUAAGGAAGCAAGGGAACCGGCGGCGACGGUGCAGAAACAGUAAGCAGGAAUGUUGAGAUCGGAGACGACUUCGAAAGCGUAUCUGGUGCAGAAGAAGUCGAAGAUAACAGCGUUAAGUGUAUAGUUGUUGGAGAUGGUAAGGAGGGCGAGGCGGAAGUCGGGGUUGUUGAGGCGGAUGACAUUGAAGAGAAGGGAGAGUGGGUGGGUUGAGGGAGGAGGGAGGUCGACGGCGGGGAGGUAGUGGCAGGUGAUGUUUGGAGGAACGGCGGAGAAGGGAGGUUGGAAAGGGAUGGUAGUGGCGAUGAGGAUGUGGAUAGAAAGGGAAGGGUGGUGAGUGAGGAGGAGCUUGGCGAACUCUACCAUGGGUGUUUGGUGGGUAAGCAAAGGUGCUGGGUAAAUAACUAUGGC